UGACAAAAAGNGGCCCAGGUGGUACAUUA
rnacentral:piRNA from 1 species